rnacentral:tRNA from 1 species
GCGCCCGUAGCUCAGCUGGAUAGAGCGGGGGACUCCUAAGCCCUAGGCCGCAGGUUCGACUCCUGCCGGGCGCACCA